AAAUACAUUAUACUGCUUUAUUUUCUCUUUCUCUCUCAAGGUAUGAGUGUAGACCAGUCAAUGAAUUGGAACGUGAAGUUACUCCUUCAACUGUCACUAGUGACAAGACGUCUCCAUCGCUUGCUCCUCCUCCUGCUCCUCCUCCUUCAUCUCUCAAUACAUCAUCACCAUCAACAGUGACUACAGACCUACCUUCACCAGAUUCACAAUCAGACACUGGAUUAAUAUUGAGAGAUAAUAGUAAUUCAUCAGUACAACCACAGACUACAAGAUCCUCAUUGAGACCUACACCAGUAUUGUCAGCAUGGGCUGCUGUGAAUC